ACGGAGGGUGCAAGCGUUAAUCGGAAUUACUGGGCGUAAAGCGCACGCAGGCGGUUAUAUAAGUCAGAUGUGAAAGCCCCGGGCUCAACCUGGGAACUGCAUUUGAAACUGUGUAACUAGAGUCUUGUAGAGGGGGGUAGAAUUCCAGGUGUAGCGGUGAAAUGCGUAGAGAUCUGGAGGAAUACCGGUGGCGAAGGCGGCCACCUGGACAAUAACUGACGCUGAGGUGCGAAAGCGUGGGGAGCAAACAG
rnacentral:rRNA from 1 species